UGUGUAGGCGGUUUGGUAAGUCUGGUGUGAAAUCUCCCGGCUCGACUGGGAGGGUGCGCCGGAAACUGCCGGACUCGAGUGCGGGAGAGGAGAGUGGAAUUCCUGGUGUAGCGGUGAAAUGCGUAGAUAUCAGGAGGAACACCGGUGGUGUAGACGGCUCUCUGGACCGUAACUGACGCUGAAACACGAAAGCGUGGGUAGCAAACAGGAUUAGAUACCCUGGUAGUCCACGCCCUAAACGAUGCAUAUUUGGUGUGGGUCAUUCAGUUGAUCCGUGCCGGAGCUAACGCGUUAAAUAUGCCGCCUGGGGAGUACAGUCGCAAGGCUGAA
rnacentral:rRNA from 1 species